AGACGCCUCAAGGCUGCGCGCGAAGACACGGCGCAGGCAGACUCACAGACGGGGCUCCCCCACCCUGGACACGGCGGCAGCGAGUUGGGAAGCCCAGGAAACCCCGGGUUCCCGUCGGAAGCCUCCCGGUACCCAGUCCCCUCCCGCAGCACCAAUCUGGGGCAGGACAUGGGGCCCCGACGCCUGCGGGAACCAGGGGCUCCCCAAAAUCCCCAGGGGAGGAAUUACCUCGCAGCGGGGGAAGCAACCCGUUCGGGGUGCCAGCGAGCACAGCGUCUGCCCUAACCCGGCGCCCUGGUGCUGCUCGGCAUCAGGGUGCGGGGUCCCGGGAGAGGAGCCGUCCAGGGGGCCGCGGCUCAGGGGCGCGGGGCGAUGGCAGCGGCCAUAGCGAGUCACGUGCGGAGGCUGAAACUUUACCCGGAGCCCCAGACUGAAGGGGCGGAGGGUACGGAGCAGAGACCUCGGGAAGGGCGAGUCUUAAAGGAGCCACUCCUAGUUGAAGACUGGACCGUGGGAAUCCGGGAGAAUCCCUCCCUCAGACCCAGAACCGAAGAUUCAGAGCAAGAACGGGGGACCAGCUGGAACUGAGAGCUGUGUGACCUUGACCAAGUCACUUCCCUUCCCUGGAUCUUAAUUAUCUCAGCUGCAAGAAAAAGAAAAAAAAAAAAA
rnacentral:lncRNA from 1 species